CUUGGAAUGCGGGACCGUGUUCGUCAACACCUACAACAAGACGGACGUGGCCGCGCCCUUCGGCGGCUUCAAGCAGUCCGGCUUCGGCAAGGACCUGGGGGAGGCCGCGCUCAGCGAGUACCUGCGCGUGAAGACGGUGACGUUCGAGUACUGAAGCGAGGCCGGCUCGGCCUCCACCUCCCGGUCCCCGGCGAGGCCGUCACCCCCCGGCCUGCCGCUGGCGUGGCGACAAGAGCCCGCCCACCAGCCUGCACCCCGACUUUGUCCCAUGGCGGGGUGACUCCUGGGAGAAUAAAGGCUCUGGGUAGAGGCC